rnacentral:tRNA from 1 species
GCUUUUAGCUCAGUGGUUAGAGCGCUCGACUCCCAUGCCGGUGUGUGUGUCGAGGUGGUGGGUUCGAGGGCCGUGAGCG